AGUGAACGCUGGCGGUAGGCCUAACACAUGCAAGUCGAACGGCAGCACAGUAAGAGCUUGCUCUUACGGGUGGCGAGUGGCGGACGGGUGAGGAAUACAUCGGAAUCUACUUUUUCGUGGGGGAUAACGUAGGGAAACUUACGCUAAUACCGCAUACGACCUACGGGUGAAAGCAGGGGAUCUUCGGACCUUGCGCGAUUGAAUGAGCCGAUGUCGGAUUAGCUAGUUGGCGGGGUAAAGGCCCACCAAGGCGACGAUCCGUAGCUGGUCUGAGAGGAUGAUCAGCCACACUGGAACUGAGACACGGUCCAGACUCCUACGGGGAGAAGCAGUGGGGAAUAUUGCGCAAUGGGGGCAAGCCUGAUACAGCAAUACCGCGUGAGUGCAGAAGGCCUUAGGGUUGUAAAGCCAUUUUGUUGGGAAAGAAAAGCAGCAGGUUAAUACCCCGCUGUUCUGACGGUACCCAAAGAAUAAGCACCGGCUAACUUCGUG
rnacentral:rRNA from 1 species